GAGUUUGAUCCUGGCUCAGAUUGAACGCUGGCGGCAGGCUUAACACAUGCAAGUCGAACGGUAACAUGAGUGCUUGCACUUGAUGACGAGUGGCGGACGGGUGAGUAAUGUAUGGGGAUCUGCCGAAUGGAGGGGGACAACAGUUGGAAACGACUGCUAAUACCGCAUAAAGUUGAGAGACCAAAGCAUGGGACCUUCGGGCCAUGCGCCAUUUGAUGAACCCAUAUGGGAUUAGCUAGUUGGUAGGGUAAUGGCUUACCAAGGCGACGAUCUCUAGCUGGUCUGAGAGGAUGACCAGCCACACUGGAACUGAGACACGGUCCAGACUCCUACGGGAGGCAGCAGUGGGGAAUAUUGCACAAUGGGGGGAACCCUGAUGCAGCCAUGCCGCGUGUAUGAAGAAGGCCUUCGGGUUGUAAAGUACUUUCGGUGAUGAGGAAGGUGGUGUAUCUAAUAGGUGCAUCAAUUGACGUUAAUUACAGAAGAAGCACCGGCUAACUCCGUGCCAGCAGCCGCGGUAACACGGAGGGUGCGAGCGUUAAUCGGAAUGACUGGGCGUAAAGGGCAUGUAGGCGGAUAAUUAAGUUAGGUGUGAAAGCCCUGGGCUCAACCUAGGAAUUGCACUUAAAACUGGUUAACUAGAGUAUUGUAGAGGAAGGUAGAAUUCCACGUGUAGCGGUGAAAUGCGUAGAGAUGUGGAGGAAUACCGGUGGCGAAGGCGGCCUUCCGGACAGAUACUGACGCUGAGAUGCGAAAGCGUGGGGAGCAAACAGGAUUAGAUACCCUGGUAGUCCACGCUGUAAACGAUGUCGAUUUGGAGUUUGUUGCCUAGAGUGAUGGGCUCCGAAGCUAACGCGAUAAAUCGACCGCCUGGGGAGUACGGCCGCAAGGUUAAAACUCAAAUGAAUUGACGGGGGCCCGCACAAGCGGUGGAGCAUGUGGUUUAAUUCGAUGCAACGCGAAGAACCUUACCUGGUCUUGACAUCCACAGAAUCUUGCAGAGAUGCGAGAGUGCCUUCGGGAACUGUGAGACAGGUGCUGCAUGGCUGUCGUCAGCUCGUGUUGUGAAAUGUUGGGUUAAGUCCCGCAACGAGCGCAACCCUUAUCCUUUGUUGCCAUCGGUUUGGCCGGGAACUCAAAGGAGACUGCCGUUGAUAAAGCGGAGGAAGGUGGGGACGACGUCAAGUCAUCAUGGCCCUUACGACCAGGGCUACACACGUGCUACAAUGGCGUAUACAAAGGGAGGCGA
rnacentral:rRNA from 1 species